rnacentral:lncRNA from 1 species
AUGCCUCCUUUUGCCCUGUUCUUGGAAGAUAUGUCUGCAGUGAAGUGGGACCAGUCAAGGGAAAUCCUAAAAUUUCUAGGAAGACAUAAUCCUAUUAAGAGUGUUACAGUAAUUGAGAGGGCCAACAUAGGUGACAUGGCAAGUCCAGAAGAUGCCCUAAUAUACAUUGCGAAUCUGGAAGAAGCAUUAACUUGGAUCAUGGAGGACCUAGAAGCCUCGGCUUUUCAGACUCGUGAAAGUCGUCUUAUAAAAUUUGUUAGGGACAUAAUGGCUAAACAGAAACGGCAAAAAAGAUACCUGGAAUGGCAAACUGCUGACCUGAGGAGAUUAGAGAAAUAUAAGCAGCAGAGAAGACUAUCUGAAAAUCCUGCUGGGGCAUCUGCAUCUGGUAAAGCCACUUAAACUUGGGCAGCACAGCAAGUCUUCCCAUUGCCGUCUGCCUCAAAGCUGGCUCUUUAAUAGUCUCUGAUCAUUUUAUUUGCCUGAAGACCAACUUCCUUUUCUUUUUUCCUAAUUUUUGUUGUCAUGCAUGGAAAUAAAUGUGUAUUGCAUUCUAAUUAUGUGUGAAAGAUAUUACUGUAGGAGGAGGGUUAUUUCCACCAAUAUGAGAUUGAUGAAAACCCUCCGAGGGACUGUGGGUACCUUAGGCAUCAA